UACGGAGGGUGCAAGCGUUAAUCGGAAUUACUGGGCGUAAAGCGCGCGUAGGCGGCUUGGUAAGUCGAUUGUGAAAUCCCCGGGCUCAACCUGGGAAUUGCAGUCGAUACUGCUGUGGCUAGAGUCUGGUAGAGGGGAAUGGAAUUCCCGGUGUAGCGGUGAAAUGCGCAGAUAUCGGGAGGAACACCAGUAGCGAAGGCGGUUCUCUGGGCCAGUACUGACGCUGAGGAGCGAAAGCGUGGGUAGCAAACAGG
rnacentral:rRNA from 1 species